rnacentral:lncRNA from 1 species
UAUUGAUCCCUUUGACUUUGUAGUAACAUCACUUUUUUUUUCUUUAUAGUAUCCAAAACAGGUACCUAAAACACAGUUUCCCAAGCUCUUGGUUGGAAAUUAUUGUGACUAAUGGAAUAUUAUGCAUGAGAGCUGUCUUAGAGACCACUUACUUUACCCACGUCAAUUUACAACUAUCCCAAUGAUGAACCUGAAGCACCAAGAAGCUAAAUUUGCCUGCUGUCCCAGAGACCAGGUGGGAAAGUCUGGUUUGGAUUUUGCAUCUCUCAGACUUUGUGACGCUGAGGGCAACUCUCUCCUUACAGAUGUCAUCUUGUAAGAGUAGACAAAGCUUGAGAGAAAGUAUGUGAGGAACAGGAGAGAAAGAAAGGGACCAGAGUUCUAAAGAAGAUAAAUCAAGAUUUAAAAUUUAAGGUAACCGUGUGAUAUGAUUUUUUAAUAAUUUUUGUACUAUAAUAGGUUUACUUUUUCAUAUUUUCCCUUUAAAUUUUUCAGUUUUUAUAUACGGCAGCAAGGUGUAAUGGAAAGAACAAUAAAAUGAGAAAAGUGAGAUUUAAAUUCUAGCCUUGCCUGAUUCCAGUGGUGUGUGAAUUUGGACUAAACAUUUAACCUCUCAGGUUUAC